rnacentral:sRNA from 1 species
GCCGGGAGCAGUGGCGCACGCCUGUCAUCCCAGUGGCUCAGGAGGCUGAGGCAGGAGGAUCGCGAGUUCAAAGCCAGCCUCAGCAAUUUAGUGAGGCCCUGUCUCUA